rnacentral:rRNA from 1 species
UACGUAGGCAGCAAGCGUUGUUCGGAGUUACUGGGCGUAAAGGGCGCGUAGGCGGCUCGGUAAGUAGGGGGUGAAAUCCUGCGGCUUAACCGCAGGGCUGCCUUCUAAACUGUCGAGCUUGAGCACGGUAGAGGCAGAUGGAAUUCCCGGUGUAGCGGUGGAAUGCGUAGAGAUCGGGAGGAACACCAGUGGCGAAGGCGACUACCUGGCCUGUUCUUGACGCUGAGGCGCGAAAGCUAGGGGAGCAAACGGG